rnacentral:rRNA from 1 species
CGACGUAAAGAACUUGCCUCAGAGAUAGGGACAACAUUUGGAAACGAAUGCUAAUACCUGAUAUUAUGAUUUUAGGGCAUCCUAGAAUUAUGAAAGCUAUAUGCGCUGUGAGAGAGCUUUGCGUCCCAUUAGCUAGUUGGAGAGGUAACAGCUCACCAAGGCGAUGAUGGGUAGCCGGCCUGAGAGGGUGAUCGGCCACAAGGGGACUGAGACACGGCCCUU